GCCUCCAUAGCUCAAUGGAUAGAGCACUGGUCUUGUAAACCAGGAGUUGGGAGUUCAAUCCUCUCUAGGGGAA
rnacentral:tRNA from 1 species